rnacentral:tRNA from 2 species
GUUCUAAUGGUGUAUUUGCAUUUUUUAUUUUGAUUAAAAAGGUCUUUUUAGGUUAGAAUA